UAAGGGGAACUCACUGGCUUUGC
rnacentral:piRNA from 1 species